UAAAAAAACUCUUCUCUCGCAGCUUAUUCGAUCCCCACCAGCAUCCUUAUCCAUCCGCAUGCAGCACCUCUUCCGAUUAGCUGCUGUUGAAGAUUUCAUUCCUCGCCACCACAGAACCAAUUCCCAAUCCAUCUCCACUUCUCCAUUCAUUUCUUUGAAUCUCUUCCAUUACUGGUGCAGUUGGUGGUUGCGCGGAGUACGCGGACGCGUUCGUUUUGUUGGAUGUGGAUCCUUGAAGACCUCGUCGAAUCCGGCGGAGUGGCCAUGGGGAGUAGUAGGGAAAACACGGGGCUGCACUGCUCAAUCUCCUCAUGGCCGGCGGCUAAGCCAUGGCAGAUUUGCUGUAGUUUGGCCUCAUGUAGGAGGCUGUGUGGGAACCAAUUGGUGGGAACUCACCAAGUCGCCUACUGAUGAUGAAUUGUUGGAUCUGACAUCCGAGGUACGGGCCAGAGUUUGGGUUUGCUAAUAUUGUCCUCAUAGGUAUUAAAGUGGCAAUGGUGAAACCUUAGUAUAAGUAGAUUGUGGAAUACGAAUAGCAGCACACGACCGUGAGAUGCUGGCCUUCUCAUUUCUGGUGCUGUCAGACUACUACCACAUGUAAGUGCCAGCUGAUGAUAUGCAUCAUAUGUAAUGAAGAUUAUUUCUUGUACUUUAUUUGUAGCAGUGUUGUACUACAUAGUAUUUUAAUUUGCUCUUAGCAAGAAAUAAUCUAUUCAUGAUGCCUUUUCUUCUAAAAAAGGCUUUAUGAACCUAAAGUGCAUGUCUGAAUGUAUUUCUAAAAUUUACAAUAUGAAUUGCUUUUGAUAGUGUUGUAUCGAUGUUUUUCGUGAUAUUUUAGUUUUUGAAAAACCUUUUUUGAAAAUUAGUUUGAUGGAUUAUUCUGCUAUUGGUAAUUAGAUUACCUUUUGUGUGUUAAUAUGUCACCUUGGAUAGUAAUCUGGGUAUAGGUUUGUUGAGCAGAAGCUUACAUAUUGAAUUUUCUCAAGUAACUUCUGGUCACCCUAUCAAGUAACUGAGAAACAAUCUUCCAGUUGCCAACAAUUUUUAGUGACCUAAGCAAUUAAUGUGAUUUGAUAUUAUAUUUGCUUUGCUGCUAAGUCUGAAUGUGGGAACUUUGUUUUUGGUCAGAAUUGUGCCGCCGGGCAAAGCUAGCGUUAUGUACAUAUCCGGUUGUGCUAUGAAGUUACUGAAGCAAGACAGGAUCCUUGUUCUUCUCGGCCUUGCUUUUCGUACGUCAUCUUCAUCUUCAGGCACUGUAUUUUUGGCUUUGGCUUUAACUUGUUUCUUGUUCUCACUGACAGCUUUUUUCUUUUGUUCUGGCAAAUUCGUCUUAGUGCAUUCAUCCUCUGAGUCAUCUGAGGAUAUUACAACAGAUCUCAGUCUCCUUUUAUUGCCACUACGGAGCUGACGUGAUGACGAUGAUGAUCUUUUGUCUUGCUGCUUGUCUUUGGUUAAUGUGGAUUCAUUGCUGUCAUAUGGCUCCUCUUUCACAUGCACCAGUUUGCAGGAAGGUCUUAACUCGUUCUCGCAAAAAUUGAUGAUAGCCUUUAUUGAAACUCCAAUGAAUUACCUGGUCUUGCCGGUUUUCGUGCCUCAUUUUAGUAAGUUCUUGCAAUGUUCUCCGCCUGUAAAACAUUUGUUCUUCUAGAGUUCCCUGAUUACUUCUAUCUAUACUCAUCAUUUUUGGUAAGGUUACUUGUGUUGAGUCCCUGCACAUAUAUAAAACAAAUAAUAAUAUGUACAAUCGUGAAUCAACAUGAGUCACUAUUCAUGAGUGGGAAUUUUUAAUUGGUAGUGUUUCAUACCUUUCAAGAAGUUCUUGUGCUUCUGGUAUAUCCAGAUCUAUAUAUAUUCUGGUGGCACUGGUUGACUUUAGGCACAAACCUAUUUAAUUAACCAAUUAGAAUUUGUAAAUGAUAAGAGUAGCAUCUAAGAUUUAUGGACUUACCAUUGAAUCUCUGCACCAUCGUUGAUGUAAUAAUAAUGACAGUUUGGCUGCCAAUUACAUCCUCGGUCAAAAAAUAAGCAAACUUUCCCCAUAACGUGAUUCUGAUUUUAUCACCCCUAAAGAAUUUAAUUCGAGAAGUUAGUGUUAAUCACAUGGGGUAGGCGUAGUUAAAUUUCAGACAUGCAUAUGCAUAUGCACUUACUCCGGCAUUAGUAUUUCAAUCUCGCGGAUAUAUGAAGGUUGUGGGCUCUUUUUUGUUAUUCUUGUCUCCACGGGCUUCAUUUUUGUUAGAAGUCCAAUGACAUAUGUUUAUUUGGAAAUUAUAGUAAUAUAACAAUUAGAAAUAUCAAUUAUUUGGAAGCCAUAAUUACAACUAUAAACAUACCUGACCAUUGUGUAUCUUUUCCUGCCCUUUCUUCAAGUGUCUCCAUGGUAGCAAACUCGAAGCAAUAGUCCGGAAAAACUUCUGGAGAUCCUUUUAUCUCCUUUACCUUUGUAUUGUAUGCAAAAAAUAUUUUAAUUUCAUUGCUCACUGGCCUAUAUUUUGUGGAUUCCACAACCUUAAAAUUACUGAAUCCAUAAAUAGACUUCUCAUUGAUCUUUGAUUUAAAAGUGUCUAUUAGAUUCUUCCAUAUAGUAGCAUGAAUUGUUUCACCCUAUAAAAACAAACAAUUAUGGUUAGUAACUGUUGCUUAAUCUGAAAAAAAUCCAAUUAACUAUAUUGAAAAAUAGACCUGCUCAUCCAUGAGUAUCAUAUCUAGGCUAAUAAGCUCAUCGGUAGUAGGAUUAACUGAAUCCCAAAUCCUCAUUACUUUCACUUGAAUGUUCCAGUUCUGUCCCCUUGUAGUUAAGUCACUCAACUUUUUGUAUGCCAUAGUUUUAUGUCUUCAAAAUUAAUCGGAAACAAUUAGCCAAUGGAUAUAGUAUUUAUGAAGAUCCUAUCCAUAAAAAAGGUUGUUAAAUAACAAUUACCAAGUCUGAUGAUUCAACCCAGAAGUGCUUUGUCGUCACUUCUUCCGACGUCGAUAGGAGCAGAUGGGCGUGGCUUUGUCGGAUGUCGGCGGGCUUUGGUAUGACUUCGCUGGACGUCAAGCGAAGCAGUUGGAGAUGACUUCUCGUCGAAGCAGUUGGAGAUGACUUCUGAUCGUGCUACCUAUGUCAACUUCAAGCUGUGUGGACGGCGAGGCGUGUGUUUCGUCUGGUGUGUUUUAAGACGUGGUGGUCGUCGAUUUCUAAUUGUUUGGUGCGUGCUUCUGUGGCCGACUGCACUUGUUUAUAUGGGUUGAGGUGGCUGGGUUGAGGUGGCCGAGACCGUGUGGGAAUCUUGUACGUAUUCGUUCCUCUCUUGGAACUUUUAUCACGUGAGGUCUGGUGGGUGUCCUUAUUUGUUUAGGUUUCUUAUUUAAUUAGGUUUGACUACUAUUUUUGCUUAUCCUUGACCCAUUGAUGGAAAUAUUCUAUUUUUGUUGUUGUGUCUUACCAUGAGGAUAAUUCAGGCUAGUUGAUGUCACAAUGGACACACUAUAUUUGUAUACGUGACGUGUUA